rnacentral:rRNA from 1 species
UCUUGGUCAUUUAGAGGAAGUAAAAGUCGUAACAAGGUUUCCGUAGGUGAACCUGCGGAAGGAUCAUUAUUGAAUGAAACUUCUGGCUGGAUGUUGUUGUGCUGGCCCUUUGGGGCAAUGUGCACACCUCUGGUCAUCUGUUUCUUCUGUUCCACCUGUGCACUGCCUGUAGACACACUCUGUGUGGUCUAUGAUAUGUUUACAUACACACAUUAUAUGGGCAUAUUAUAUAUAAUAAAAUUACAACUUUCAACAAUGGAUCUCUUGGCUCUCGCAUCGAUGAAGAACACAGCGAAAUGUGAUAAGUAAUGUGAAUUGCAGAAUCCAGUGAAUCAUCGAAUCUUUGAACGCAUCUUGCGCUCCUUGGUAUUCCAAGGAGCAUGCCUGUUUGAGUGUCAUUAAACUAUCAAAACACUUUUCUUGGGUGUUUUGGACUUUGGGAGUAUAUUGCUGGUCUGUUUGAGCCAGCUCUCCUCAAAAGCAUUAGCUUUGGAGACCAUCAGUGUGAUAAUUUGUUUACACUGACUUGAGUGUCUCAGCUUCUCCUUUNGAUGCCCCUCUGACCUCAAAUCAGGUAGGACUACCCGCUGAACUUAAGCAUAUCAAUAAGCGGAGGAA